rnacentral:lncRNA from 1 species
UGAAAAUUGGAAGGGGACAUGCAAGGCCAUACUCCCACCCCUCGGUGACUCUCAAUGUUUUGUCUGUGGUUUUUACCAUCAUUCUCAACUCUUUCCACUGCUCACAACAACGUUUGAACUGCCAAACCCAGGGGUAAUCCUCUUUCAACAGCCUCUGGAGAAAUCCCAGAGUUUAUUCUCACAGGAUAGAAAACUUAAGCUUUCAUUCACAAAUAAUAUAAAGUAAAAGGUAUGCUUUCCGUUACCAACAGGAAAUUUUCACAGACUUUUAGGGUCAUUUAGAUAAAACUUCCAUUUCAACGUGUAACACCUUAUAGUCAGCGUGGUAGAAUAAACUGCAAUAAACAUGAAGUAACCAGACUAGUUAGCAAUCACCCGCAGACACACACCUGUCUCCUCCAUAAGCUGUUAGACUUCAACAGGACACAAAAACAAGCCCUUGAAAAACCCGUGGCCCUUUACGAUUUAAGCUGAUGAUGAUCUUUCCUAGCAGAAACUCAACAGAUGAGACAACAAGCCGGAGAUAUGCUCAAAAAUAAAAACCAGUAUUUGGUGAAGAUCAAGGCACAGCUCACAAUGUCUGAUCAAAGGUGUC